rnacentral:rRNA from 1 species
UACGGAGGGUGCAAGCGUUAUCCGGAUUCACUGGGUUUAAAGGGUGCGUAGGUGGAGUGGUAAGUCAGUGGUGAAAUCUCCAAGCUUAACUUGGAAACUGCCGUUGAUACUAUCAUUCUUGAAUAUCGUGGAGGUAAGCGGAAUAUGUCAUGUAGCGGUGAAAUGCUUAGAUAUGACAUAGAACACCAAUUGCGAAGGCAGCUGACUACGCGAAUAUUGACACUGAUGCACGAAAGCGUGGGGAUCAAACAGG